UACGUAGGGUGCGAGCGUUGUCCGGAAUUAUUGGGCGUAAAGAGCUCGUAGGCGGUGUGUCGCGUCGAUCGUGAAAACUUGGGGCUUAACCCUGAGCUUGCGGUCGAUACGGGCAUGACUGGAGUUCGGCAGGGGAGACUGGAAUUCCUGGUGUAGCGGUGAAAUGCGCAGAUAUCAGGAGGAACACCGGUGGCGAAGGCGGGUCUCUGGGCCGAUACUGACGCUGAGGAGCGAAAGCGUGGGGAGCGAACAGG
rnacentral:rRNA from 1 species